GUAGGGUGGCAAGCGUUGUCCGGAAUUAUUGGGCGUAAAGCGCGCGCAGGCGGUCCUUUAAGUCUGAUGUGAAAGCCCACGGCUCAACCGUGGAGGGUCAUUGGAAACUGGGGGACUUGAGUACAGAAGAGGAAAGCGGAAUUCCAAGUGUAACGGUGAAAUGCGUAGAGAUUUGGAGGAACACCAGUGGCGAAGGCGGCUUUCUGGUCUGUAACUGACGCUGAGGCGCGAAAGCGUGGGGAGCAAACAGGAUUAGAUACCCUGGUAGUCCACGCCGUAAACGAUGAGUGCUAAGUGUUAGGGGGUUUCCGCCCCUUAGUGCUGCAGCUAACGCAUUAAGCACUCCGCCUGGGGAGUACGGCCGCAAGGCUG
rnacentral:rRNA from 1 species